UACGGAGGGUGCAAGCGUUGUUCGGAAUCACUGGGUGUAAAGCGCGUGUAGGCGGCCUUCUCAGUCUGGUGUGAAAGCCCGGGGCUCAACCUGGGAAUUGCGAUGGAGACUGCAAGGCUAGAAUCUGGCAGAGGGGGGUAGAAUUCCACGUGUAGCAGUGAAAUGCGUAGAGAUGUGGAGGAACACCGAUGGCGAAGGCAGCCCCCUGGGUCAAGAUUGACGCUCAUGCACGAAAGCGUGGGGAGCAAACAGG
rnacentral:rRNA from 1 species